AUCUGAGAGUCAAACACAAUUCAAAACAGAUGAGAGAUGAUAACGUCUGUCAGGAAACUGAACUUGGGAGCCAGUUACCAUUUCCUAACACCAGUCCUCCAUGUCUCUGUUGUUGGGUCUAUUUGUUCUGGACUCUUUCUAGGUCCUGUUUUAGGCCAUUGGAGGGGGCUGGAAACUGGAACCACUGCUUGAGAGGACAUCAGUCCCUUACAGGACACUCAAGAGCUUCUUUAAAGGAGCACUUCAUCUAUAUUAUGAUAUUAUUUGCAUACGUUACCUAACCUAUGUAAUUUGUAGUGACGGCCAACAAAAAUAUUUAAUCUCAUAAAUAACGCUGGAAAAUGACAGUAGUCCACAGACAGGGAACUCCUUCACACAGGAUCACGCUUAUGAAUUGGUGGGUGUUUUUCCUGGAAGAGGGAUCAUCUACAAGACGGUGGCACUUUUUCCUCUAUGCCUUCUGCAUCUGUGCCAUCCAUGCUGAAGACGAUCCAGACGCACUUAAGAACAUCUGCAUUGAUGUUUGCAAGGGGAGCCGCACAGCUGGCAGGGAUUUGAACCCACAGACUUCAAGUACCACUUCUUAGACACUCCUUGUGUGUGUGGACCAUUCCCCAGGACGCAGGGCCACCUUGACAUCAUUACUGCUGAGACCCUUGCUUGGCUAUUUAUUCUGAAUAGGAGGAGGCCUUCGCAGGAUUUCGAGGAAGUUAUGUGGAGUGUUUAGAUUCUGCAUAUAUUUUUCCAAAUGGCCUGACAUUUGAGAAGUUACCUCAGACGAGGGCACCACCAUUGUAACAUGCGAUCAUAAUGAAAAUCUCUAAGAAAAAGACAGAACCACAUUAGGAAAAGGAGAACUCCUGGAUAUAAAGGUAGGGGCUGCUGGAGACAGUAGACCCCGUCAAAUACGGAGCUCUGGGACUACACAGGGCAAGAAGAGACAUGGAAACCUUCUGCGUUGGCCAGUUGACCCAAAAGAUCAUCACAGUGCUUAACCCCACCAAGAAGUGUGAGGGAAGCCUGACAAGGGGCCACAAGACCCUCAGAUUGUCUUUGGGUGAGGAAAGGUUUACCAAUUUAAUGCCAAGGACCCUCCCAGCCUCUUGGUACCAAGCUUUUCUAUGGAAUGGGCAGAUGGAAAGCUACCUUUGAAACUUCUGUCUUUAAUGGCUUCUGAAGGCUCUGGGGUAAUGAGUGCAGAGUGAGGCAGAGGAAAAUGUUUAAAUGAGAGGGUUCUACCAACAUAAAGUACAUUUAUUCUAUGCAUGUGAGCCUUUUGGGGUGUCUUAUGGGUAAUGGUACUGUGAAACUCGGGGGAAGAUAGAAAAUGAAGCACAUCCCCUUCCAUAGUUUCUGGUUCCUUUAAAGUUAAGAAAGCACCAAAAGAUGAUCAACAUCACUUCCAGUUCUAAUGCCACAAGCCUGCCUCUUCUGGUUUCAUGGUACUUAAGUUGCAUUCUUCCCAGAAGUCCCUGUUCAUUUACAGAGUUACAUUUGAAAAGAACUGAGCUCCAUCUUAAAAACAUAUCAGGGACCAUCUUUAUCAAUGGAGGAUUUUGAAAUUCUUUUCUUACAAAUUUCCUUUUUCAUUGUUUGAACUGAGUAAUAAAUGGGGAGUCCCAUCAUACUUGUCAUUAAUAGCAGCCAUGUAUUGCAGAAAUACGCUUGUCUCCUUUAGUUAUGUACCACGUUGGCACACAAAAAUCUUAUGCAUUAUAUAUUGUGAUGGAUGGCCAGCCAUUUAUCCCGGCCAAUAC